rnacentral:rRNA from 1 species
AUAAACGCUGGCGGCGUGCCUUAGGCAUGCAAGUCGAAUGGUCCAACGCAAGUUGGGCAAUGGCGGACGGGUGAGUACAAGUAAGGUAUCUACCUCAAAGUGAAGGACAUCUCGUCGAAAGACGGGGUAAUCCUGCAUAUUAUCGCAAGAUCAAAGGGCGUAACUGCCCGCUUUGAGAGGAGCCUUACACUUAUCAGCUAGUUGGUAGGGUAAUGGCCUACCAAGGCUUUGACGAGUAGGGGACGUGAGAGCGUGUACCCCCACAAUGGCGCUGAGAUACGGGCCAUACACCUACGGGUGGCAGCAACCGGGAAUCGUCGGCAAUGGACGAAAGUCUGACCGCGCGACGCCGCGUGAGGGAUGAAGUCUUUCGGGAUGUAAACCUCUUUUGCCCCGUCAUCACGACGGGGAGAAUAAGCGCCUACUAACUACGU